rnacentral:tRNA from 1 species
GGAGGGGUGGCAGAGCCUGGUUGAAUGCACCGGUCUUGAAAACCGGCAUGCGUUUACGCGUAUCGUGGGUUCUAGCCCCAAAAGGCACUGUUUACGGUCAUUUUAGGCCGGUUCGAUUCUGGCUCCCUCUG